GCGGGGGGUACGAACGGGAACCUCGGCGGUGGCGGGGGGAUGCUCGGGGGAGCCCGCAGGUUCCUGGUGCGAUGAGCAGCACGGCAGCAGCCUCGGGGCUUUGCUGGCAGCUGGGCAAGGUGCACGGGGCUGCAGGGAUGGGAAUCCAGGCAGGACUGAGCUGAGGGAGCUGCGGCCUUCAGCACGAGGAUCCAGCACUUCCAAGUGGCUUUUCCACCCAAACUUCCCCUUUAUUAUGACCUGUUCCUCAAGGGUGUUCUUCUAGAUCUGUGUUUUCCCUGGGAAUGGAGGUGCCCUUCGUGCUGCUCCUGACCAGGCUCGUGGCAGAAGUUGCAGGAAAAUCCACAGAAAACUCAGUGCCAGACCCAGAAUGUUGUGUGGAAAUGUUGGAUUCCAACAGCUCCUGCCCAGUCACCCACCAGUGCAGCCCAGGUAG